AGAAUUUCCAAGGAUUUUUUUGGGGAUUUCCAGGGAAAUUCUGCGUGAAUUACCAGGGAAAUUCUUCGAGAAUCUCCAGGGAAAAUCUGUGAGCAUUUCCAGGGAAAUGCUGUGAGAAUUUACAAGAAAUUUUUUUUGGGAAUUUCCAGGGAAAUUCUGUGAGAAUUUGCAAGGAAAUUCGGUGAGAAUAUCCAGGGAAAUUGUGUGAGAAUUUCCAGGGAAAUUGUGUGAGAAUUUCCAGGGAAAUUCUUCGAGAAUAUCUAGGGAAAUUCUGUGAGAAUUUCCUGGGAGAUUCUGCGAGAAUUUCCAUCGAAAUUCUGCAAGAAUUUUCAGGAAAUUCUGCGGGAAUUUCCAGGGAAAAUCUGUGAUCAUUUCCAGGGAAAUGCUGUGAGAAUUUCCAAGGAAUUUUUUUGGGAAUUUCCAGGGAAAUUCUGUGAGAAUUUGCAAGGAAAUUCGGUGAGAAUAUCCAGGGAAAUUCUGCGAGAAAUUCCGGGGAAAUUCUGACAAAUUUUGAGGGAAAUUAUGUAAGGUUUUAAGGGAAAUUGUGUGAGAAUUUCCAGGAAAGUUCUGUGGAUACCGUCGCAAUUUGAAGGGAAAUUGUAUCGGAAUUCAAAGGGAAAUUAAGUCGGAAUUUCUAGGGAAAUUCUGUGAGAAUCUCGAUAGAAAUUCUUUAAAAAAUUUCAGAAAUAUUCGGUGAGAAUUUUCAGGGAAAUCUGUCAAAAAUGCAGGGAAAUUGUGUUGGAAUUUCCAGGCAAAUUUUAUAAAAAUUCCCAGGAAAAUUCUGUGAGAAAUUGCAGGGAAACUCUGUCGGAAUUCGCAGGGAAAUUCUGUCGGAAUUUCCAGAGAAAUUAUGUGGCAAAUUCCAGGGAAAUUCUGUGGAAAUUUCCCAUGAAGUUUUGUUGGAAUUUCCAGUGAAAUUGUGUGGGAAUUUCCAGGGAAAGUUUGUGGGAAUUUUGAGGGAAAUUCUGUGGGAAUUUCUAAGGAAAUUAUGUGGGAAUUGGUAUGGAAUUUCGUUGGGAAGUUCCAGGUAAUUCUUUGGAAAUUUCCAGGGAAAUUCUUUGGGGCGUUCCAGGGAAAUUUUUAGGGAAUUUCCAGGACAAUUAUGUGUGAAUUCCCAGGGAAAUUCUGUGGAAAUUCCCCAGGAAAUUCUGUCGGUAUUUCCAGGUAAAUUAUGUGGGAACUUCCAGGGAAAUUAUGUGGAAAUUUCCCAGGAAAUUUUGUUGGUAUUUCCAGGAUCCUGGGAACCGGUUCGGGGACCACCAUGUGGACAAUACUGUAUCCAGUACCAGGCUUGUAAAACAGAUGAAUUCUCUAUGGAAUACUGCAAAUUUGGAUGUGCCAUACAGUCAUGCAAAAUGCGAGCAUUAGCCACAUUUCCAGGUCAAUCUCGAUUUAUUGGACGGCACGAUCAUAGAAAAUGGGUGAAUUGACCACAUUCCGAACCAGUCUCAGGAACCAGUUUUGGCAUGGUUCUACAAAAUGUGAGAAUUGGCCAAAUUUCAGGGGUCCAGGGAACCAGUUCUGGAACCGUCUAGUAGUCAAUCCUGUUUUUGGCAUUUGACAUGACCACUGAUGUAUUUGUCGCAAGAUUCUGCAAAUUUCGAUAUGUCGCACGGCAUGAUCAACGACAAUGUGAGAAUUGAUCUCAUUUCCAGGGUCCUAGGAACCGGUCCCGGGAACCAGUUGCGGAAGCCAGUUCCGCGACCACCAGUUGUUUCAAGAACCAGGCUUGAGAACUGAUGAAUUCUCUAUAAAAUUCUGAGAAAUUUGAUGUGCCGGAUGGCAAGGUCAUGCGAAAUGCGAGAAUUGGCCACAUUUCCGGGGCCUCGGGAAUCGAUUCCGGGACCUUCAAGUGGCUAAUCUUGCCUUUGGCGUCUGAAAUGGUCACUGAUGUAUUCUCUAAAAAAAUCUGCAACUUUUGAUAUGUCGCAUGGCAUGAAUUCACCAAAUUUGUAAAAUGGCCACCCCUAGGGGGUCUCAGGGAACCUCAAUCAUUAUAUUAUAGUAAAAAGGUUUAAGGGAGUUGAAAACACACUGAAAUUAUUUUUCUAAAAAAGAUACACGGAAAGUAAAAUUUUCCAUGAAAAAAAUAUAAAAAAACAUAAUUUAACAAUAAUUAUAAAAUCUCAAAAUGUUUUCGUCUUAAAAAAUCGGUAUAACAAAUAGGGUUUCAGGAAAAAUAUAAAAAUGUACGGAUGUUCAUAAAUAAAAAAUAGAAAAAUCAAAAACCUAAAUUCCCAAAAUCGAGAAUUAAAAAGAAUCAUCUUCCAAAACAUGUUUAACUUAACCCUUCUAAGAUGUUAAGCUAGGCGCACCACGAUGACGUGGUGCACGUUCAGCGAGCCUAUCUGGGUCAUAUUGGCUCCAACAUCAUACUAGGGUUAAAUCGAUUUUAAAUGACAAAAAAUGAUAUUUAGACCAAAAUCCAAAAUUUGUGUAUUAGAGGGUUAAACAUAGCGAGGUUAAUGGUUUCCAUAUAAAAACUGUCGUGUUUUUUAAGGCUAUGCUUGUGUCUUAUGUUUUUUGAUGUCUAAGACAACAUAACACCUUUAGUGGUGUAUGAUUAAUUUUGUGGAAGCUUGCGAUAGAUUUCGUGAUUUUCAUAUGUUUUUGAAAGUUUUGAGUAAUAGGUUUUGACUGACUUUUGUUCCACAGCGAACCACUGUGCAUUGGUCAAUGCGGUGAGUUCAGUCAAUGCAGUCAAUUUUCACGCUACCCAAGUGAAAAUCUAGAUCCAGUCACUUAUAAUUUACUUUGCCUAGGGUAUAACUUUUCUCACAGGCGUCCGAUCACUUUGUAGUCUUCAACAAAGUUGUUUGGCAUAUAGUCACCUACAAUAAUGCCAAAGGGUUUUAUUGUUGAAGGCUUACAGCGCCACUUAGCGGCAAAAAAUCGAAAACUCAAUAUUUCUGCAUACAUUUGGCCAUACAAACUUCAAGCAGUUUGAGCGCCCCCUUAGGCUUAAUCGAUUUUGCUUAAAUUUUGAUCAUAGCUUCUGGGAGUUCAAAACAACCGAUUCAGCAUGUAAGACUUGCCAUUUUUCAAAAUAUUGGUUUUUAAUAUAAAUUUGGGCCACCCUAAGGGUGACGUUGGAUAUUAUCGGCAGGUUUGCUUUCUUCGUCAUGAGGGGUUUUUGUUGACAAAUUUUCCUUGCUCGUAAUUCAGCUUGAUUGGGAAGGAUUGGAGGCCAAGUCUGAGUUCAACAGCUUUAAAAAAAAAACCCCAGACGAAGAGAUCAAAACUGCCGAAAAUACACAAUUUUCCCUAUACCAAGUACAAAAUGUCUUCGUUCCCAGGUAUGGGCGUGACAAGGCGUUCAAAAUGUGCAAAAUCCGGAUCGGACAUCAAUACCUCUUUGAUUAACACGUGUGCCGCUGUCCGAUCACUUAUGCACAUUUUGAACGUCUUGUCACGUGCCUAGACCUGUGCACGAAAACGUAGUUUGUAUACGUCAAAUUCAGCAUAUUGGUAGAUCCGUUUCACAAAUAAUGCUCAAUAGAUCCAAACAAACCAUAGUUACAGCAUUUCAAACUAGGCCAUUUUUUAUGGAAAUCGGCUUUUGUCCGAUGAAUUAUGCUCAACAGUAUAUGCACUCCAAAUACUGUGUUCUUAAAAACCCACGGAAACCCUCUAAAAACCCCUGGAACGCUUCUAAAACCCACGGAAACCCCUGGAAAACACCUGAGUCGGCCCUGGGACCCCCAAAUAUCUCUGACAACCUCUGGAACGCCACUGAAGCCCCUUGAACACCCUGAUGGUAAACCCCUGAAACUCUGGAAAUCUCCUGGAACGCCUCCUGAAACCCGAUAGAACGACCCUGAAACCUUAUGGAAUGCUCCUGAAGCUCCCUGGAACUUCCUUGGGAUCCCUUGAAACCCCCAGGUUAACCCCUAAAACUUUCCAAAACCCGUUGGAACACUCUGGGACAUCCCUAAAACCGCAUAGAAAGUUUCUAAAGCCCCAUGAAAACCACUGGAACAACUCUCGGGAGCCUCUGGAACUCCCUGGAACACCCAUGAAACCCUCCUAAAAUCCCAUGGAACACUUCUGGAACGAGAAUCAAUGGAACACACCUGAUACCCCCUGUAGCUCCCUUGAAAUACCUUGAAUACUUCUGGAGCACAUCUGGGACUCCCUGCAACCUCCUGGAGCAUCAAUGGAACUCUCUAAAACCCUCUGAAACGCCUCUGAAACGCCUCUGGUACGCUUCCAAAAGCCCAUGGAACGCUCUAUGGAACGCUAAUGAAACUCCCUAGAACACCACAUAAUCCCCUGGACCGCUCCUGAAACCCCCUGAAGUACCUCUGAUGGAACUCUUUUGGGACCCUUUGACACCUUUAAGGGUUUCUUCAGGAAUUCCUCUUGGGAUUUUUCCAGAAAUUCAUCCAGGAGUUUUUGCGGAUCUUCCUCUAGGGAUUUCUUUAAAAAAAUCUAUGGAUGCUUUUAGUAAUUUCUCCAAAAAAUCACUCAAACGAUUUGUCCAGGAAUUCCUCAGAGUAUUUCUCUAGGAUUUCCUACGGGGAAAUCUCUUGUUAAUGUUUGAGAAAUUGAUUACGUGAUUUCUUCUAGAAUUCCUGCACAUUCAUAAUUUACUUUACAUUCUCCUAAAUUUUGUUUGGUUUGUUUGGAAAUACCUACACCUAGAAUUUAUACUAGAAUUUCUCAAGCAAUUUCCGUUGGGAUUCCUCCAGGAAUAGCUCCAAAUAUUCCUUCAGUAUUUCACGAAUUUCAUCUGGAGCCCUAACAGAGAUUUCUUCGGUUUCAAUAGACAAUCUACCAAUGAUUAUACUAGGAAUUAGGGUCUUGUACCAUUUGCGCAGGUGUACCUAUUUUGGGCACUUGCCGCUAUAACUCAAUUCCAAACCAAUUGAUUUGAAUUUUUGUAUAGAGUUAGAUUCUGUACGUGCCCAAUAUUAAACAAAAAUUCGAAUCAAUCGGUUUGAAAUUGACUUAGUUAUAGCGACAAGUGCCCAAAAUAGGUACACCUGCCCAAAUGGUACAAGACCCUACUCUGGGGAUUUCUUCGGAGAUUGUAAUAGAGAUUCUUUCACAAAUAACUCAAGGAUUUAUGCGGGAAUUCUUUUGGAAGUUUCUAUAGAAAUUACUAAAUACGUUUUUCACUGGUGCAUUUCAAAAGGUUAUUGGCCCAGAACUUAGUUUGUAUUCGGAGGAAAGAAGCAGAAUCAAGAUGCCAUCAAAUGGAGGAAGCUCCGGAGUUCAUCACGGCGGCGGAAAUGGAAAUUGAGUUGAAGCAGGAAGCCGGUCAUUGAAAAGUUGAAGGGCGUGAAUGUGCCUCACUUUGGAGUGGUAUAACUGUAGCCUGGUUCAGGAUGCGGAGAAUACAGCUGAAGCUUGGAAGAAGCUGGCUGAAGUUUUUUAACAUUCUGGUUUGUCCCGGAAAAUUCCCAAACUUACUUUAAUCCGGCUAGUGAAUUGUUCAGGCGUUGGAGAUUGCGUGAACGACCUCAUGAACACCAGUCAUAAGCUCUCGACGAUGGGAUCCUAAGGGGAUGAUUUCUGGUUGGUGGUGUUUUUGCUGAGAUUAUUACGAGUCUACGUUCAUGGUUCAGAGGCUUCUGGUACCAGGUUAACGACGGAUUCGGUCAAGGCGAAGAUCCUACAGGACCAAAGACAGCGAUGACAAGGCGUUGUACAUUCGCGGGACGGGUUAGUCGGAAAAACCAAACAAGAAACCCAAGACAGAGAAGGUGUGUUUCAACUUCGGAAAGCAAGGGCAUUUUGCUGCUAAGCGCCCAGACCGCAUCAAGUCGAAACCAAAAGGGUUGUGUAGCAUCUUUGCGGUUGAAGAGCUUAAGGUUGAUGGAUUCACCAUCGACUUAACCGUCAUCAUCGGAAAUUCUAGAGCAGUUUUCUCGCUCAAAACUUGAAUAUUUGUCUUGAAAAUGUAUUCAUUGUAAUCCUUUCUACGUCCGUAAUACAGUGAAUACAUUUUCAUUUCGGAAAUUUCAGCCCUGAACGAGAAAACUGCUUUCGAAUUUUCAAUAAUGACGAUUAUGUAAAUGACGAAUCCUUCAACAUUAAAGACAAGGCGUGGUACUUCGACACGAGAGCGACGUACCACAUGACUCAAACAAAUCAAAAAUUCACCAACGAGACGACUUGGAAGCACAAUGUAGGUUCAGCAAACUUACGGUAACGGUAACAUGAAAGCUGUAACCAGAGGUACCAUCGACCUGCGUAACGCGGACGCGGAUGUGUUAAUCAAUGCUCACGGGCGUAUUGAAGACCAUACACUCAGCGAAGUAAACUACCGAAAUUCAUCAAAAUACCUUAUGAAAUUUAGCCAUAACAGUAAAGUAUGGAUGCCAUAAGAAUACCUUAUGAAAAUUGAACAUUAUUAUUAUGACUCAAUUACAUAAGAUAAACUUAUGAAAAGAGCAGAAAAAUCACAAAAUGAUGCAGACUGUAAUCGAUCCAUGACCGUCGAGAUCACUGAGCCCGUGCUCAACCCACACGGCUAUCGACGCUUGAGAAAAUCGUGUUGCUAAAUGUGUAUAAAAGCCAAACUCUGAGUCGAUUCUGCGUCAUAGACCGACCUUAUGAAAAUCGUUCUAGCCGUUAUGAAUUGUUUAAAGGCCAUUUCAUAAGUUAGGCCUUAUGAUAAUCUUAGGUUUAUUUGCCUGAGUGUAGUUAUCGAUGAGUACAAUGUGUAAACGGGGACUUACAGUUGUUUUCUCAGCAGAUAAGUGCAAAGCUCUCGACGAGGAUGACCAGCUGGUUGAGUCUGAAUUUUCAGAAAGAGGACUAUAUCGUCUGAGCCAGCUGGAAAAGACAUUUCUGGCCUAUGGAAUCGAGCUGUGGCUUCGCCGAUUUGGUCAUCUGAACGAGGCAAGUUUGAAGCAACUUUGGCAGUCUUCCGAAAGUGUCGAAUUCUCGAACGAAAGCAUGGUGGAUUGCGUGAUGUGUUUGGAAAGCAAACAAGCCCUUCAAGUGAAAAGAAGUACUUGAGCUCAUGCACUCCGACCGAUGUGCGGACCGAUAGAAGUGUUGUCGUUGGGUGGCAGUCGUUAUUUCGCUACAUUCGUGGACGAAGCUAGUAAGCGUGUCGUUGUGUGCUUCUUGUAGAAUCGAACAUGGACGUUGACCUGCCUUCUCGAAGGAUGGAAAGCUAUUCGAAACAAGUGGGUCUACACGAUUAAACGAGAAAACCGGCGUUGAUUAUGAAGAGGUAUAUUCUCCGGUGGUACGAUACGUCACAACUGGAUACUUCAUGGCGAUGGGACGACGGACGCUAGACCCGAAGUAACUCCGGCCGAUUCAAGCAUCAAACUCAACAAAUCCAUGGCUACCGCCCCGGGCCCCGACAAUCCUUAAUCCGGGCCUGACCAUCUCUCCUUAGCCAAAGGAAUGUGUAUGCCGUAUUUGGUUUAAAUUGGUUGAGACAUUCCUUGAGGAGGACCUGCAAGCACUCGGAGUUUUUCGAGCGACGCGUGCUAAGGACUAUCUUUGGUGGUGUGCAGGAGAACGGAUUGUGGCGGAGAAGGAUGAACCACGAGCUCGCUGCACUUUACGGAGAACCCAGCAUCCAGAAGGUGGCCAAAUCCGGAAGGAUACGGUGGGCAGGGCAUGUUGCAAGAAUGCCGGUUAACAACUCUGCAAAGUUGGUGUUCGCGACAGAUCCGGUAGGCACAAGAAAAGGCGUGGAGCGCAGAGAGCACGAUGGACGGAUCAGGUAGAGCGUGACUUGGCGAGCAUCAGGCGUGACCAAGGAUGGAGAACGACAGCCACGAACCGAUUCAGUUUUAUCUUGAAUUUGAUGUAAUACUAAAUAAAUGAAAUGGGAGAAGGUGCGGUUUUUCUCCGCACGCCAUUCA